rnacentral:rRNA from 1 species
GAUGAACGCUGGCGGCGUGCCUAAUACAUGCAAGUCGAGCGAACGGACGAGAAGCUUGCUUCUCUGAUGUUAGCGGCGGACGGGUGAGUAACACGUGGAUAACCUACCUAUAAGACUGGGAUAACUUCGGGAAACCGGAGCUAAUACCGGAUAAUAUUUUGAACCGCAUGGUUCAAAAGUGAAAGACGGUCUUGCUGUCACUUAUAGAUGGAUCCGCGCUGCAUUAGCUAGUUGGUAAGGUAACGGCUUACCAAGGCAACGAUGCAUAGCCGACCUGAGAGGGUGAUCGGCCACACUGGAACUGAGACACGGUCCAGACUCCUACGGGAGGCAGCAGUAGGGAAUCUUCCGCAAUGGGCGAAAGCCUGACGGAGCAACGCCGCGUGAGUGAUGAAGGUCUUCGGAUCGUAAAACUCUGUUAUUAGGGAAGAACAUAUGUGUAAGUAACUGUGCACAUCUUGACGGUACCUAAUCAGAAAGCCACGGCUAACUACGUGCCAGCAGCCGCGGGUAUACGUAGGUGGGCAGCGUUAUCCGGAAUUNAUGGGCGUAAAGCGCGCGUAGCGGUUUUUUAGUCUGAUGUGAAAGCCCACGGCUCAACCUUGGAGGGUCAUUGGAAACUGGAAAACUUGAGUGCAGAAGAGGAAAGUGGAAUUCCAUGUGUAGCGGUGAAAUGCGCAGAGAUAUGGAGGAACACCAGUGGCGAAGGCGACUUUCUGGUCUGUAACUGACGCUGAUGUGCGAAAGCGUGGGGAUCAAACAGGAUUAGAUACCCUGGUAGUCCACGCCGUAAACGAUGAGUGCUAAGUGUUAGGGGGUUUCCGCCCCUUAGUGCUGCAGCUAACGCAUUAAGCACUCCGCCUGGGGAGUACGACCGCAAGGUUGAAACUCAAAGGAAUUGACGGGGACCCGCACAAGCGGUGGAGCAUGUGGUUUAAUUCGAAGCAACGCGAAGAACCUUACCAAAUCUUGACAUCCUUUGACAACUCUAGAGAUAGAGCUUUCCCCUUCGGGGGACAAAGUGACAGGUGGUGCAUGGUUGUCGUCAGCUCGUGUCGUGAGAUGUUGGGUUAAGUCCCGCAACGAGCGCAACCCUUAAGCUUAGUUGCCAUCAUUAAGUUGGGCACUCUAAGUUGACUGCCGGUGACAAACCGGAGGAAGGUGGGGAUGACGUCAAAUCAUCAUGCCCCUUAUGAUUUGGGCUACACACGUGCUACAAUGGACAAUACAAAGGGCAGCGAAACCGCGAGGUCAAGCAAAUCCCAUAAAGUUGUUCUCAGUUCGGAUUGUAGUCUGCAACUCGACUACAUGAAGCUGGAAUCGCUAGUAAUCGUAGAUCAGCAUGCUACGGUGAAUACGUUCCCGGGUCU